rnacentral:rRNA from 1 species
AGUGAACGCUGGCGGUAGGCCUAACACAUGCAAGUCGAACGGCAGCACAGUAAGAGCUUGCUCUUACGGGUGGCGAGUGGCGGACGGGUGCGGAAUACAUCGGAAUCUAUUUUUUCGUGGGGGAUAACGUAGGGAAAGUUACGCUAAUACCCCAUUCGACCUCCGGGUGACAGCAGGGGAUCUUCGGACCUUGGGCGAUUGAAUGAGCCGAUGUCGGAUCAGCUAGGUGGCGGGGUAAAGGCGCAAGAAGGCGACGAUCCGUAGCUGGUCUGGGUGGAUGGAUGGCCAGACUGGAACUGAGACACGGUCGAGACUCUUACGGGAAGCAGCAGUGGAGAAUAUUGGACAAUGGGGGCAAGCCUGAUCCAGCCAUACCGCGUGGGUGCAGAAGGCCUGCGGGUUGGAGAGCCCUGUUGUUGGGAAAGAAAAGCAGCAGUUUAAUACCCCGCUGUUCUGACGGUACCCAAAGAAUAAGCACCGGCUAACUUCGUG